AUCAAAUUGAUGAACAGUCAUUGUUGCCUGAAUCGAUUAUUAUCAUUGCUGCUACUUCCUGGAGCUUAAUGCGCUUUGCUUUUUUGGCUCUAACCUCUCUCGGCUAGACGAGCUUCCCCAACUGGUAACCCUUCCACACCCCAAUCUUCAUGGACCAGAGAUCUUGGAUGUUCCUUCCACAGUUCAAAAGACCCCUUUCGUCACCCACCCUGGGUAUGACACUGGAAAUGGUAUUCAGCUUCCUGGCACUUCUGGUCAGCAACCCAGUGUUGGGCAACAAAUGAUCUUUGAGGAACAUGGUUUUAGGCGGACCACACCGCCCACAACGGCCACCCCCAUAAGGCAUAGGCCAAGACCAUACCCGCCGAAUGUAGGACAAGAAGCUCUCUCUCAGACAACCAUCUCAUGGGCCCCAUUCCAGGACACUUCUGAGUACAUCAUUUCAUGUCAUCCUGUUGGCACUGAUGAAGAACCCUUACAGUUCAGGGUUCCUGGAACUUCUACCAGUGCCACUCUGACAGGCCUCACCAGAGGUGCCACCUACAACGUCAUAGUGGAGGCACUGAAAGAC
rnacentral:lncRNA from 1 species